UACAGAGGUCUCAAGCGUUGUUCGGAUUCAUUGGGCGUAAAGGGUGCGUAGGUGGCGGGGUAAGUCAGGUGUGAAAUCUCGGAGCUCAACUCCGAAACUGCACUUGAUACUGCCUUGCUCGAGUACUGGAGAGGAGAUUGGAAUUCCUGGUGUAGCGGUGAAAUGCGCAGAUAUCAGGAGGAACACCGGUGGCGAAGGCGGGUCUCUGGGCCGAUACUGACGCUGAGGAGCGAAAGCGUGGGGAGCGAACAGG
rnacentral:rRNA from 1 species